CUCUUAUCCCGAGCUGGUGGAGGGGUCAGGCCCUAUGAAACCCGGCAACCUGCAGUUAUGAACCAAGUAGUAAUUGGCAAAGGUGCUGAACCUGAAGCAAGGUGUAUUCCUUGGAUGAUAAGAG
rnacentral:ncRNA from 2 species